rnacentral:rRNA from 1 species
CGGAGGGAUCAUUAGAGAGUUAGUAUAACUCCAAAACCCAUGUGAACUUACCGUACGUUGCCUCGGCAGGUCGCGCUCACCCCGUAGUACCCUACCCGUUAGGGGGGGUCUACUCGGUGGCCGCGGAGUGAGCCUGCCGGUGGCCCAACCAAACUCUUGUCUUAGUAUUUGUAUCUCUGAACUUGAUAAAGGAAAUAAGUUAAAACUUUCAACAACGGAUCUCUUGGUUCUGGCAUCGAUGAAGAACGCAGCGAAAUGCGAUAAGUAAUGUGAAUUGCAGAAUUCAGUGAAUCAUCGAAUCUUUGAACGCACAUUGCGCCCAUUAGUAUUCUAGUGGGCAUGCCUGUUCGAGCGUCAUUUCAACCCUUAAGCCUUUGUUGCUUAGUGUUGGGAGCCUACAGCGAUGUAGCUCCUCAAAGUUAGUGGCGGAGUCGGUUACACACUCUAGGCGCAGUAAAUUCUUUUAUCUCGUCUACGGCUGUGGCCGGUCCCUUGCCGUAAAACACCCUAAUUCUCAAGGUGACCUCGGAUCAGG